UUCGUGCAGGCAUCCGGUCUCUUCGCUGUACCCCGCACUCGUAAUGCGUAGGUCUCGGGUUCGAAUCCCGAAGGCGGCUCCA
rnacentral:tRNA from 1 species